rnacentral:rRNA from 1 species
CCUGGCUCAGGACGAACGCUGGCGGCGUGCCUAAUACAUGCAAGUCGAGCGGAGUUAGAGAAGCUUGCUUCUCUAACUUAGCGGCGGACGGGUGAGUAACACGUGGGCAAUCUGCCCGUAAGACUGGGAUAACUCCGGGAAACCGGGGCUAAUACCGGAUAAUCCUGACUCUCUCCUGAGAGUCAGUUGAAAGAUGGUUUCGGCUAUCACUUACGGAUGAGCCCGCGGCGCAUUAGCUAGUUGGUGAGGUAACGGCUCACCAAGGCGACGAUGCGUAGCCGACCUGAGAGGGUGAUCGGCCACACUGGGACUGAGACACGGCCCAGACUCCUACGGGAGGCAGCAGUAGGGAAUCUUCCGCAAUGGACGAAAGUCUGACGGAGCAACGCCGCGUGAGUGAAGAAGGUUUUCGGAUCGUAAAACUCUGUUGUUAGGGAAGAACACGUACGAGACUAACUGCUCGUACCUUGACGGUACCUAACCACAAAGCCACGGCUAACUACGUGCCAGCAGCCGCGGUAAUACGUAGGUGGGAAGCGUUGUCCGGAAUUAUUGGGCGUAAAGGGCGGGGAGGUGGUUCCUUAAGUCUGAUGUGAAAGCCCCCGGCUCAACCGGGGAGGGUCAUUGGAAACUGGGGAACUUGAGUGCAGGAGAGGAAAGUGGAAUUCCACGUGUAGCGGUGAAAUGCGUAGAUAUGUGGAGGAACACCAGUGGCGAAGGCGGCUUUCUGGCCUGUAACUGACACUGAGGCGCGAAAGCGUGGGGA